AUCUUUCUAGUAUAAAUUAGUAUAAAUGACUUCCAAUCAUUAAGUCUUGGUUAAAUCCCAGGGAAAGAUA
rnacentral:tRNA from 1 species